AGACAAGGUGUUAUUCUUGACCGACAUUAUGUAACUCCAAAAUGUUCUCCUUCGCGAGCUUCUCUGCUAACGGGCAGAUAUGCUUGGAAGAUGGGAGUGCAGCGAGGAGCCAUUGAAAGAUACCAACCAACAGGACUUUCAGCAAAUUUUACCCUCCUACCACAAAGACUAAAGGAAGCUGGAUAUGUGACGCAUGCUGUAGGAAAGUGGCAUCUAGGAUAUUGUAAUGAAAAAUAUCUUCCUACAAGAAGAGGAUUCGAUACGUUCUUCGGUAUUUACCAGCAAGCAGUAAACUAUAGAAACAGGUAGAAUAAUUUACCAGCAAGCAGUAAACUAUAGAAACAGGUAGAAUAAUUUAC